rnacentral:lncRNA from 1 species
AACAAGGCAAGAAAAACAGAGAGUGGAAAGAGGGCGAAGUGCUAUUUGUGGGGUAAGAGAGAGAGAGAGAGUAGGGAAAGUUAGAUACCGCAUGUGUUUUGUUGGAAUGAGAAAAUUUCAUUUGGCCGUUGGGUAAAUAAAAUAUUGGAUAGUGGUGAUCAAAGUUGUAUAAUUUCAUUUCAUUUCAUAAAAUUUUAUUUUUCGCGUCUAAAUUCAACAGUGAUGAUCGUCGGAUGUAGAUGCUUUGGUUUUCCAUAUAUAACGGUAAUAAUUUUUUCAAGCACUUUAUUUUUAUUUUUCAAGCAUCCCAUUAAACCGUUAUAUUGCAUAUUGAAAGUUUUCGUUUUAUUUUUUUUAUAACUUAUUGUAAUUUUGAUUGUGCCCAACCAAUUCAAAAUUUCUGUGUCCGCCACUGAUGGUCACAACAUAAUGAAGGCAAUCAAUCAAUAUAGAUUGAUCCCAAAUUUGAUUUAAAUUCAAUAUUGUCUACAUCUUGCUUGUUUUUGUCGAAAGAUGAAAUUAUAAUUGGGCUUGAAUUUGAAGAAAAUUGAAAUGACACCGAUAAGAAUUUGUUCAUUGAGAUUGCUUAGUAGUUUAUUUAAUGAGCAGCUUGACCUAUAGAAUAUUGAGAUCGAGUUAAGAGAUCUAGAUAAGUGACUCAGGUGUUUG